rnacentral:rRNA from 1 species
AAAGGAAUAGACGGGGGCCCGCACAAGCAGCGGAGCAUGUGGUUUAAUUCGAAGCAACGCGAAGAACCUUACCAGGGCUUGACAUCCCUCUGACCGGUGUAGAGAUACACCUUUCCUUCGGGACAGGGGAGACAGGUGGUGCAUGGUUGUCGUCAGCUCGUGUCGUGAGAUGUUGGGUUAAGUCCCGCAACGAGCGCAACCCCUAUCUUUAGUUGCCAACAGGUAAAGCUGGGGACUCUAGAGAGACUGCCGGGGACAACUCGGAGGAAGGUGGGGAUGACGUCAAAUCAUCAUGCCCCUUAUGUCCUGGGCUACACACGUGCUACAAUGGCCUGAAACAAAGGGAAGCGAAGGCGCAAGCUGGAGCAAAUCUCAGAAACCAGGUCCCAGUUCGGAUUGUGGGCUGCAACUCGCCCACAUGAAGUCGGAGUUGCUAGUAAUCGCGAAUCAGCAUGUCGCGGUGAAUACGUUCCCGGGCCUUGUACACACCGCCCGU